rnacentral:misc_RNA from 1 species
AAGUUUCUUUUCAUGCACUUGAAGGAGAACCACAGACACCUUGGUCAGACAUUCUCUACAAAAUGAUUCCGCCGCCUGUUUUCAGCAAGCCCCCGGAGCUGCAGUUCCGCGCGGGAAAAAUGAAGUAUGCAGGCGGAAUGGUAACAGCCGACAAGCGAAAGGGCUACCUUUCGUUUUUCUCCAGUGCGAACACCGUUGAGAUGAUCUGGGCAUCGGAGUCUGAGAAAUCGGCACCCAUGGUGUUGCCUCGCGGAAAAACCACCGUUAGCUUUGUGACCCAGUGCAAGACAGGUCGUGUCCUUUUGUUCGAGGUAAAGGAGAAGGACGAGAAAAAGCAGUACUUCUUCUGGCUGCAGGACAAAUCGGAGCAGAAGGACAGUGCUUAUUUAGCAAGCCUUGAGAGCAUGCUCGCAGAGCGAACGGCCAACAAUCGACCGAAGACAACCGUCAACCUUGAAGAUUUCAAAAAGAUUUUGGCGUCAGUCUCCAAGUCGAAAAAGGAUGUAAAGCUGACUGAUGUUUUGUCUUCCUCUAUUGUCACUGAGGAGCUGAGCAGCGACCCUGCUUAUUACAAGGCGAAACUUAUGGACUACUUGCCGAGAGACGGUGGAGAGCUGGAUGACAUUCUCUCUCAAGUGAAAAACCCGCAGGUUUCGCAAGCGACGGCGCUUCUGGAGGUUGCGCUGCAAGACCCUGCAACCUACAAGCAGCUCUGCACCUUAUUCGGUGUUCCAGAUACCGACCCCAACGGAGGCGUUUUGGCGUUUCUCAAUGGAAUCAUUGCGGCGGCGAAGAAGCCCUAAGCGCGCUUUUUUUAUAGGACGCAUGCGCUCAGUGCAUUUUGUGCUGUCGAAUUCUCGGCUUGCUGUGGUAUUGUACUGGAAAAAAAAAAC